GACGAACGCUGGCGGCGUGCUUAACACAUGCAAGUCGAACGGAAAGGCCCUGCUUUUGUGGGGUGCUCGAGUGGCGAACGGGUGAGUAACACGUGAGUAACCUGCCCUUGACUUUGGGAUAACUUCAGGAAACUGGGGCUAAUACCGGAUAGGAGCUCCUGCUGCAUGGUGGGGGUUGGAAAGUUUCGGCGGUUGGGGAUGGACUCGCGGCUUAUCAGCUUGUUGGUGGGGUAGUGGCUUACCAAGGCUUUGACGGGUAGCCGGCCUGAGAGGGUGACCGGCCACAUUGGGACUGAGAUACGGCCCAGACUCCUACGGGAGGGAGCAGUGGGGAAUAUUGCACAAUGGGCGGAAGCCUGAUGCAGCAACGCCGCGUGCGGGAUGACGGCCUUCGGGUUGUAAACCGCUUUCGCCUGUGACGAAGCGUGAGUGACGGUAAUGGGUUAAGAAGCACCGGCUAACUACGUG
rnacentral:rRNA from 1 species